GACAGAGGGUGCAAACGUUGUUCGGAAUUACUGGGCGUAAAGCGGGUGUAGGCGGCCAUGCAAGUCGGAUGUGAAAUCCCUGGGCUCAACCCCGGAAGCGCACUCGAAACUGCGUGGCUAGAGUCUCGGAGAGGAAGGUGGAAUGCUUGGUGUAGAGGUGAAAUUCGUAGAUAUCAAGUAGAACACCGGUGGCGAAGGCGGCCUUCUGGACGAUGACUGACGCUGAGACCCGAAAGCGUGGGGAGCAAACAGGAUUAGAUACCCUGGUAGUCCACGCCGUAAACGAUGAGUGCUAGAUGUCACGGCUUUGACCGCUGUGGUGUCGUAGCUAACGCGUUAAGCACUCCGCCUGGGGAGUACGGCCGCAAGGCUA
rnacentral:rRNA from 1 species